rnacentral:sRNA from 1 species
UGCAAACCCAGGUGGUGGUGGUUGCUGGUAGUUCCCCUGGAAUUGCUGCUUAGGAACGAAACCUUGGUUGUAGGGAACAAAAGGUUUGUUCUGACCUUGUUGUUGCUGUGGAGGAUACACCUGAUCCUGAGGGUUAGCAACGUUGGUGCUGCGGUAGGAGAGGUUGGGAUUGUUGGUUUUGAAGUUGUUGUAUCCUUUGUAGCCACCCUGGUUGUUGUUGAUGUAGCUGACUUCUUCCAACUGGUUACCCUCCCCAUCUUGGACUUGAUACUGCUCGUCAUCAACAAGGAAGUGCACAUGCUUCUGCUGGCUAAGAAGAAUCCUGUCCAGCUUGUCAUUCAGCGCUUUGAUCUCCUUCCUGUGUUUGUCAUCAGAGUCAGUUGUUCCUCUGACGGUUCUAUCACAGUCUUCGUUGUAAUUGCCAUCUGAUUGAGCAAGGUUCUCAACCAAUUCCCAGCCUUCUUCCACAUCCUUGUUCUGGAAAUUCCCAUUGCUGGCGGUAUCCAGAAGCAUUCUGAUGCGUGGUAGGACUCCUCUGUAAAGAGUGAUGAGCAGAGAGGCUCCCAUGCUUCACAGAAGCUUUCACCAGUCUUCUGUGAGAAACCAGAAAUCUCAUUUCUGAGUCUUGCAGUUCUGGCAUUGGAGAAGAACUUUGACAGAAAAGCCUUCUUACAAUCAUCCCAGGUGGUGAUUGAGUCAUGGGGCAGAUUCUUCUCCCAGAUGUGUGCUUUGUCUCCCAAGGAGAAUGGAAACAAACGGAGCUUGAAUCCGUCUUCACUGACACCAUUGAUCUUUGUUAGGUUGCAAAGCC